CAUUUCAGUUCGGAUUGCCCUCUGCAACUCGAGUGCAAGAAGUUGGAAUCGCUAGUAAUCGCGGAUCAGCAUGCCGCGGUGAAUACGUUCCCGGGCUUUGUACACACCGCCCGUCACACCAUGGGAGUUGGUUUUACCCGAAGGCGCUGUGCUAACCGCAAGGAGGCAGGCGACCCCGGUAGGGUCGAGCGCAUCUGGGGUUGA
rnacentral:rRNA from 1 species